rnacentral:rRNA from 1 species
UACGUAGGCAGCAAGCGUUUGUUCGGAGUUACUGGGCGUAAAGGGUGCGUAGGUGGCUCUAUAAGUAUGGUGUGAAAUCUCCCGGCUUAACUGGGAGGGUGCGCCGUAGACUGUGGGGCUAGAGUGUGGGAGAGGAAAGUGGAAUUCCUGGUGUAGCGGUGAAAUGCGUAGAUAUCAGGAGGAACACCGGUGGUGUAAACGGCUUUCUGGACCAUAACUGACACUGAGGCACGAAAGCCGUGGGUAGCAAACAGG